rnacentral:rRNA from 1 species
CCUACGGGAGGCAGCAGUGAGGAAUAUUGGUCAAUGGACGAGAGUCUGAACCAGCCAAGUAGCGUGAAGGAUGACUGCCCUAUGGGUUGUAAACUUCUUUUAUAAAGGAAUAAAAUGAGGCACGUGUGCCUUUUUGCAUGUACUUUAUGAAUAAGGAUCGGCUAACUCCGUGCCAGCAGCCGCGGUAAUACGGAGGAUCCGAGCGUUAUCCGGAUUUAUUGGGUUUAAAGGGAGCGUAGACGGGUUGUUAAGUCAGUUGUGAAAGUUUGCGGCUCAACCAUAAAAUUGCAAUUGGAACUGGCAGUCUUGAGUACAGUUGAGGUAGGCGGAAUUCGUGGUGUAGCGGUGAAAUGCUUAGAUAUCACGAAGAACCCCGAUUGCGAAGGCAGCUUACUGAACUGUGACUGACGUUGAUGCUCGAAGGUGUGGGUAUCGAACAGGAUUAGAUACCCGAGUAGUC